rnacentral:rRNA from 1 species
UACGUAGGGGGCUAGCGUUGUCCGGAAUCAUUGGGCGUAAAGGGUGUGUAGGCGGCCAAGUAAGUCAGUUGUGAAAGCCCCGGGCUCAACCCGGGAAGUGCUUCUGAUACUGCUUGGCUUGAGUAUUGGAGAGGUGAGUGGAAUUCCAGGUGUAGUGGUGAAAUACGUAGAUAUCUGGAGGAACACCGGCGGCGAAGGCGGCUCACUGGCCAUAUACUGACGCUGAAACACGAAAGCGUGGGUAGCAACAGG